AUGCAUUCAUUUAGCUUCUUUUAUGAUUCCUCCUUCAACAUUUUUUUUUUAAAUUCCCAGCCUGGAGAUGGAACUGGAUACCACCCAGUCAAAUUGCAUUAUUUCGACCAUCUGCUGCAGGAAGCCAUGACAGGCAUGGCCGUCUGUGAGAAUCCAGUAGUUUUGCCACAAGCGGCGCCACCACUGGUGACUUGUAGAACUACACAUGUCACUGUGAAGCUGCCUCAUGGGACAAAACUGAGGAAGGUAAAAGAGCUUGAUUUUUUCACUCAUGAAGGAUUCUCAGUGAUACAACGGAAGACCCCCAAUGCUUUGUUUGUGCAGAUAUCCAAGUUAUCAGACACGGAUUCUGGAUUUGAACUAGUUUAUGUUGACUCUACUGGGAAACUGUGCACAAUGCUGGCUGUCUGUGACCAAAAAAAAGUGAGGCAUCGUGUUGGGAGAGCUCUGGAGGAACCGGAUUUAUUCGAUCUGUGGGACUUCGAGGAAGUUCCCGUUGAACCAUUUGAUCCAGACACAACACAGGCAACAGACAGCUCUGAAACUGAUACAUUGGAGGAAAGUGAUGAUGCAGGAUUUUAUUUGUUGUGGGGAUUUGAAGAAAUUCCUGAAGAUCCAUACACUGGAAUAGACACAGAGAUUACAGAACCUACAGCUCCCACGACUAUUACUACUGCUGCUCCUACCACGACAGCAGCCCCCGACACGACGACCGUGACCACGCCAGUCCCCGUGACCACCGCAGCCCCUAGUACAACGAUUACCACAGCUGCCCCUGCAACGACGACCACAGCAGCUCCCGCCACCACAAUGGUCCCAACCGCAGCCCCAUCCACCUCAACCAGUGUUGUGUCUACCACAACAACCAGCGCCCCCUCCUCCACCACAGCGACCAGCGUGGCUUCAACCACAACAACCAGCGCCCCCUCCUCCACCACAGCGACCAGCGUGGCUUCAACCACAACAACCAGCGCCCCCUCCUCCACCACAGCGACCAGCGUGGCUUCAACCACAACAACCAGCGCCCCCUCCUCCACCACAGCGACCAGCGUGGCUUCAACCACAACAACCAGCGCCCCCUCCUCCACCACAGCGACCAGCGUGGCUUCCUCAACAACGCCUAGCGCCCCCUCCUCCACCACAUUGACCAGCGCCCCCUCCUCCACAACAACCAGCAUGGCUUUCACCACAACGACCAGCCCCCCCCUCCACCACGUCUAACACUCCUUCCACCACGAGCGCGGGCUCAACGACGACCAGUGUUGCCUCAACCACGACGACGACCAACACUCCUUCCACCACUCCCACCACGACGACCCCUGCCUCCACCACGACCAGCGACCCCUGCCUCCACCACGAGCGACCCCCUGCCUCCACCACACAGACCCCUGCCUCCACCACGACGACCCCUGCCUCCACCACGACGACCCCUGCCUCCACCACGACGACCCCUGCCUCCACCACGACGACCCCUGCCUCCACCACGACGACCCCUGCCUCCACCACGACGACGACCAACACUCCUUCCACCACGACGACCCCUGCCCCCACCACGACGACCCCUGCCCCCACCACGACGACCCCUGCCCCCACCACGACGACCCCUGCCCCCCACCACGACGACCCCUGCCCCCACCACGACGACCCCUGCCCCCACCACGACGACCCCUGCCCCCACCACGGCGACCCCUGCCCCCACCACGACGACCCCUGCCCCCACCACGACGACCCCUGCCCCCACCACGACGACCCCUGCCCCCACCACGACGACCCCUGCCCCCACCACGACGACCCCUGCCCCCCCCACCACGAGCCCCUGCCCCCACCACGACGACCCCUGCCCCCCACCACGACGACCCCUGCCCCCACCACGACGACCCCUGCCCCCACCACGACGACCCCUGCCCCCCACCACGACGACCCCUGCCCCCACCACGACGACCCCUGCCCCCACCACGACGACCCCUGCCCCCACCACGACGACCCCUGCCCCCACCACGACGACCCCUGCCCCCACCACGACGACCCCUGCCCCCCACCACGACGACCCCUGCCCCCACCACGACGACCCCUGCCCCCACCACGACGACCCCUGCCCCCACCACGACGACCCCUGCCCCCACCACGACGACCCCUGCCCCCACCACGGCGACCCCUGCCCCCACCACGACGACCCCUGCCCCCACCACGACCGCCCCUGCCCCCACCACGACGACCCCUGCCCCCCACCACGACGACCCCUGCCCCCACCACGACGACCCCUGCCCCCACCACGACGACCCCUGCCCCCCACCACGACGACCCCUGCCCCCACCACGACGACCCCUGCCCCCACCACGACGACCCCUGCCCCCCACCACGACGACGACCCCUGCCCCCACCACGACGACGACGACCCCUGCCCCCACCACGACGACGACCCCUGCCCCCCCCACCACGGACGACGACCCCUGCCCCCCCACCACGACGACGACCCCUGCCCCCACCACGACGACGACCCCUGCCCCCACCACGACGACGACCCCUGCCCCCACCACGACGACCCCUGCCCCCACCACGACGACGACCCCUGCCCCCCACCACGACGACGACCCCUGCCCCCACCACGACGACGACCACCCCCCCCCCACCACCACCACGACGACCCCUGCCCCCCACCACCACGACGACCCCUGCCCCCACCACCACCACGACGACCCCGACCCCCUCCGUAGAGCGCAGCUACAGAAUGGAAGUCAAAAUUGGGUUUUAAUCAAUAAAUGUAUAAAAUACAGAAAUUACUGUUACUACAGCAUAAAGUUGUUGUAAAAAAUGUACAUACUUGUAAUGGACCUGUAUGUUAUGUCUGUAUUGGGAUGACGAUUAAAAUAUAUUUUCUCUAACAGUCUGACUGGAAAAUGCACUUUUUUGAACAGCGAGAAUUUGAUCGUUCGUCCUUUUUUCCGUUGCCAACAACGCCCUUUGGUAGCCAUCAACAAACUUUUGGCAAAAUUAAGUUUGGAUAUUUGACCACUGUGCUUGGCACUUUCUUUAAUACAAAGGACCAGAGCAUGAUACUAAUAGUCUUAGGGUUGCAUUCCUCAACUUUUCUCCUCUAAAUCUGCUCAUUGUCAUUGGCAAAAUAACCAGACCACAAAACUCUCCCCAAGAAGGUUCUUGUUUGUCAAUGUGAGCAAACUUGAGUUAAGUUUAAGGUGCUUGUGGCCUUUCAAAUGCAUAGUGAUGUAGAACGUGUUUCACUGAGGACAGCGACACCGGUGUUAAAACAGCUUCUAAAUCAUGGCAGACUGUUGGUUUUCUUCCAGACCCUGCUAAAGAGAAGGUCUUUGGACUUUCCCAUUGUGAUGUUUGUGGCUCAGUCUAAUGUGUGCAGUCAAACAAGCUAUUUACUGUAACAGCUUGUUUACGCAUCAUACAGAAAAUUAUAUCCACAUAUUUCAGUACAAUUUGAACACCCUUUUCAAGGUAAAGGCACUGUAGUGAUAUUUUAUAACUUCACUUGUGAAAGAAUUUCUGGAAGUCAGCCGGAUGAGGGGCUAUAUCGUUCUACUUACACUAUGUCAUUGCAAAUUAAAUUAUAUGAACAUUUCGAUUUUUCAUGGACAUUAUACUGGGAAAAGAGCAUGCCGUAAAACUUGAAUUAAUAGCCCAGGCUUUUCUUUUCUUUCC
rnacentral:lncRNA from 1 species